AAUGUAGAAGACAGAACCUGGGAUGGUGGUGGGCAGAGAUUUCAUCAGAGGGACUAUAAGGGCAGCACUUGUUUGAGGUGAUUGUUAUCUCAUUUUAUGGAUGAAGAAACUGAGACCAAAAGAUGUUAAGUAACCUGUGCCAGCUCACACACCUGCCAGUUGGCGGUGCCAGAUUGGAAAAGAGGUCUGACUCCCAAGGCAGUGCCCCGACCAGUUCCGGUUGGGCCGUGCGACCUUUGGCAGUUGGGGACCUCGUCCCUUAACUAACCACACCUCUCACGCCGGAAUUCUCCAAGUCCCCGCCCCCGCCCGGCCGCGCCGGCCUCCCGCACCCCGGUAU